GACGGAGGAUGCAAGCGUUAUCCGGAAUGAUUGGGCGUAAAGCGUCCGCAGGUGGCAGUUCAAGUCUGCUGUCAAAGACCGGGGCUUAACUUCGGAAAGGCAGUGGAAACUGAACAGCUAGAGUAUGGUAGGUGCAGAGGGAAUUCCUGGUGUAGCGGUGAAAUGCGUAGAGAUCAGGAAGAACAUCGGUGGCGAAGGCGCUCUGCUGGACCAUAACUGACACUCAGGGACGAAAGCUAGGGGAGCGAAUGGG
rnacentral:rRNA from 1 species